GUACGCUGGCGGCACGCCUAACACAUGCAAGUCGAACGAAGUAGCAAUACUUAGUGGCAAACGGGUGAGUAUAAUGUGGGUAUCUGCCUUUUGGUUUGGAAUAACAUGAGGAAACUUGUGCUAAUACCGGAUAAGCCUUCACAGGGAAAGUUUUAUACGCCGAAAGAUGAGCCCGCACUUGAUUAGUUUGUUGGUGAGGUAAUGGCUCACCAAGACUAUUAUCAAUAGCUGGUCUGAGAGGAUGAUCAGCCACAUUGGGACUGAGACACGGCCCAAACUCCUACGGGAGGCAGCAGUGGGGAAUCUUGCACAAUGGAGGAAACUCUGAUGCAGCGAUGCCGCGUGAGUGAAGAAGGCCCUUGGGUUGUAAAGCUCUUUCGUCGGGGAAGAAAAUGACGGUACCCGAAUAAGAAGGUCCGGCUAA
rnacentral:rRNA from 1 species